rnacentral:rRNA from 1 species
GCCAGCAGCCGCGGUAACACCGGCAGCUCUAGUGGUAGCAAUUUUAUUGGGCCUAAAGCGUCCGUAGCCGGUUUAAUAAGUCUCUGGUGAAAUCCUGCAGCUUAACUGUGGGAAUUGCUGGAGAUACUAUUAGACUUGAGACCGGGAGAGGUUAGAGGUACUCCCAGGGUAGAGGUGAAAUUCUGUAAUCCUGGGAGGACCGCCUGUUGCGAAGGCGUCUAACUGGAACGGUUCUGACGGUGAGGGACGAAAGUUAGGGGCGCGAACCGGAUUAGAUGCCCGGGUAGUCCUAACUGUAAACGAUGCGGACUUGGUGUUGGGGUGGCUUUGAGCUGCUUCAGUGCCGAAGGGAAGCUGUUAAGUCCGCCGCCUGGGAAGUACGGUCGCAAGACUGAAACUUAAGGAAUUGGCGGGGGAGCACCACAACGCGUGGAGCCUGCCGGUUUAAUUGGAUUCAACGCCGGACAUCUCACCAGAGGCGACAGCUGUAUGAUAGCCAGGUUGAUGACUUUGCUUGACUAGCUGAGGAGUGGUGCAUGG